UUGGACGGGGCCCGCACAAGCGGUGGAGUAUGUGGUUUAAUUCGAUGCAACGCGAAGAACCUUACCUGGUCUUGACAUCCCGGAGACCCUUAGGAAACUAGGGGGUGCUUCCAUCUGGAAGAAUCUGGAGACAGGUGCUGCAUGGCUGUCGUCAGCUCGUGUCGUGAGAUGUUGGGUUAAGUCCCGCAACGAGCGCAACCCUUGCCUUUAGUUGCCAGCAGUUCGGCUGGGCACUCUAAAGGGACUGCCGGUGUUAAACCGGAGGAAGGUGGGGAUGACGUCAAGUCCUCAUGGCCUUUAUGACCAGGGCUACACACGUACUACAAUGGCCGAUACAAAGGGCAGCGACACUGCGAGGUGAAGCCAAUCCCGUAAAAUCGGUCUCAGUCCGGAUUGGAGUCUGCAACUCGACUCCAUGAAGUUGGAAUCGCUAGUAAUCGUGGAUCAGCAUGCCACGGUGAAUACGUUCCCGGGCCUU
rnacentral:rRNA from 1 species